UACGAAGGGGGCUAGCGUUGCUCGGAAUCACUGGGCGUAAAGCGCACGUAGGCGGAUUGUUAAGUCAGGGGUGAAAUCCUGGAGCUCAACUCCAGAACUGCCUUUGAUACUGGCGAUCUCGAGUCCGGGAGAGGUGAGUGGAACUGCGAGUGUAGAGGUGAAAUUCGUAGAUAUUCGCAAGAACACCAGUGGCGAAGGCGGCUCACUGGCCCGGUACUGACGCUGAGGUGCGAAAGCGUGGGGAGCAACAGG
rnacentral:rRNA from 1 species